rnacentral:rRNA from 1 species
UGCAAGUCGGACGACAGGCGAGGAAUCCGCAAGGAGGUAUCGUGCUGAGUGGCGUACGGGUGAGUAAUACAUGGGGACGUACCCUCAAGAGGGGGAUAGCAUUCCGAAAGGGAUGGUAAUACCCCGUAAGCUCGAGAGAGGGAAGGUACAGCAGUACCGCUUGAGGAGCGACUCAUGGCCCAUCAGUUAGUUGGUGAGGUAAAGGCCCACCAAGGCGAUGACGGGUAGCUGGUCUGAGAGGAUGGUCAGCCACACUGGGACUGAGACACGGCCCAGACUCCUACGGGAGGCAGCAGUGGGGAAUUUUUCCCAAUGGGCGAAAGCCUGAGGGAGCGACGCCGCGUGGAGGAAGGAGUCUUUCGAGAUGUAAACUCCUGUUGUAAGGGAGCAAGGGUAUAUGGAGUGGAAAGUCAUAUACUCGGAUAGUACCUUACGAGGAAGCCCCGGCUAACUACGUGCCAGCAGCCGCGGUAAUACGUAGGGGGCGAGCGUUGUCCGGAGUUACUGGGCGUAAAGGGUGCGUAGGUGGCCGAUAAAGUCAAUUGUGAAAUUCCACGGCUCAACUGUGGGAGUGCGGUUGAAACUAAUCGGCUUGAGGUCAGGUCAGGAAGAUGGAAUUGUCAGUGUAGGGGUGAAAUCCGUAGAU